AGAAGACAUCUGAAAGAGAUUAAAGAUUUAUCGGUGAUGGAUGGGGAUGCGUCUGAUUAGCUUGUUGGCGGGGUAACGGCCCACCAAGGCGACGAUCAGUAGGGGUUCUGAGAGGAAGGUCCCCCACAUUGGAACUGAGACACGGUCCAAACUCCUACGGGAGGCAGCAGUGAGGAAUAUUGGUCAAUGGGCGAGAGCCUGAACCAGCCAAGUAGCGUGCAGGAUGACGGCCCUAUGGGUUGUAAACUGCUUUUAUAAGGGAAUAAAGUGAGUCUCGUGAGACUUUUUGCAUGUACCUUAUGAAUAAGGACCGGCUAAUUCCGUGCCAGCAGCCGCGGUAAUACGGAAGGUCCGGGCGUUAUCCGGAUUUAUUGGGUUUAAAGGGAGCGUAGGCCGGAGAUUAAGCGUGUUGUGAAAUGUAGACGCUCAACGUCUGCACUGCAGCGCGAACUGGUUUCCUUGAGUACGCACAAAGUGGGCGGAAUUCGUGGUGUAGCGGUGAAAUGCUUAGAUAUCACGAAGAACUCCGAUUGCGAAGGCAGCUCACUGGAGCGCAACUGACGCUGAAGCUCGAAAGUGCGGGUAUCGAACAGGAUUAGAUACCCUGGUAGUCCGCACGGUAAACGAUGGAUGCCCGCUGUUGGUCUGAAUAGGUCAGCGGCCAAGCGAAAGCAUUAAGCAUCCCACCUGGGGAGUAC
rnacentral:rRNA from 1 species